AAGGCGCAGAUGCUCUGUGCCCAGCCCAGCUAGUUUUAAUGAAAAGCCAUAUAUAAACCGAACAAUAAAUAAAUAAAAUUCCUAAGGGAGGGGCUUUAGAAUGGAGCAGAGAGUGGCAGUUAAAGUGACUGUCUGUCCGCAGGGCGAGAGGGAGAGAAGCUCGCUAGAGGGGGCGGGGGGGGGGGUCUGUUCUGGGACUGGUGGGGCUCCAGGGAGGCAGGACAGGACCAGUGUCUAUACAGGAUAAGCGACCCAACUGUGGCUCCCUCAGUGAUCUCUCUGUCCUUGUACACUGGGUAGAACGUCUGCCAGUGGGUGAAAUCUGUGUGUCCAAAAUCUUACAUCACACCAUAUAGACACGAUAGCCAAGCCUGGUUAUUGUUGUUAUGGAAACCAUUACCAGUCCCGAGCCCUGCUUUGGCAGAGAGGAACCUUGAAGCUGCUUGUACAUAAAUAAGCUUGUUUUUGUUGUAUUUAAAAGUUCUUCUUGUGUCCAGUGUGUUAUACUUUCUUCUUACACAGCCCUCAGCUAGGGGUUGUCAGGAUAAAAACCCAAGCAGAAAGAGCUUGGUGGUGGCAGCAAAGACUAGAUAAAGAGGAGCUGAAAUAAAUACAUAUUUCUUGGGAACAGUGGUCCACCUAAGUUUAAGCUUAUUAACCUCUCUAGUUUUGGUUAACCCCCACACCCCCCCCCCCCCACUAGCAGUGUCUUGGACUGAUGAGUAGUGUGAUGCCCGUCACAAGCUCUGAAUGCUUUAUACAUCAUGACUAGACAGAAUGACAAACGUUAAAUAAAAUGGGAAGGAGCCAACUUGUUAUUUGAAACAACUGUAACAAUUAAGACCAUAGGCUGAGUGUAAAAACUGACACUUCUGUAUCAUUAAUGCAUAUCGCAAGGCUCUGGCAAGCUUUAAUUAGAAGGUACAUAACUUAGUGUCCGUUUCCUCACCCCUUCACCUCACUCCCUGUCUGGACAUCAAUAGCUAAGGGCUGAAGAAGAGCCAAGAAGACCAGAAGGACAAACCUGUUGACAGUUAUGGCUGUGAACAUCAGAACUAACAGUUUAUGAGCAACAACAUCCAACGAAGACAUCCUGACCCUGGAACAUCUUGUGAGAGAUAAGGACUUGGGUUUGAGACACUUUGGGCAGAACUUGGCAAGAGUAUGAAAGCACCUGCCAGAACCCUAGAUGUGGACAUUUGGGUGCAUCAGAAUUGAUGUGGUCCAAUGGAAGUGACUGACCUGGUGCCCUGAGAGCUGAUUGACCGAAAGAGGCAAAUAAAGAAGGCCCACGGGUAUAACUGCUUCUUCCCUAGGGCAAGAAGCUAGAGCUGGGGAGUCCAUCUCCCUUCUUUCCAACACAUGUUGUCUCUUCACUCCCUAGCCACUCUGAGCACCAACUUGCUUCAUUAUACAAUCUGCAGUAUCUUGGUAAGCCACAGGAUGAUAUCAAUCUGGCCCAUUGAUUGACUCCUGCAAUGAUUGAAUUGGACAUCUCACCUUAGUUCCGCCUCUCCUCUCUCUCUCUGUUUCUCCCCUCUUCCUUUAAGAAUUGUAUCUGAUAGGUGAGGAAAAGUCUAGUCUGUUUGCCUAGCCUCUCUGUCCGUAUUUUUUUUUUGCAAUUUUUCAGUAAAGGUAACAAAAGAGAA